UACGGAGGGUGCAAGCGUUGUCCGGAAUCACUGGGCGUAAAGGGCGCGUAGGCGGCCUGGUAAGUAGGGGGUGAAAUCCUGCGGCUUAACCGCAGGGCUGCCUUCUAAACUGUCAGGCUUGAGCACGGUAGAGGCAGAUGGAAUUCCCGGUGUAGCGGUGGAGUGCGUAGAGAUCGGGAAGAACAUCAGUGGCGAAGGCGGUCUGCUGGGCCGUUGCUGACGCUGAGGAGCGAAAGCGUGGGGAGCGAACAGG
rnacentral:rRNA from 1 species